UUCCAUUCCCUGGAAUCCGUGAGGCCAAGAACCCCAGGUCAGGGAACAAAAGGCUUGUGCCAUCUUGGGAGCGGCCCCCCCACCAUCUUGGGAGCUCUAAGAACAAAGACCUGCUGAUUUGUUUUUUGUGUUUCUGAAACUGCCUUUGCAAAAAUUAUAACUGAGGAAAUGAUGACAGUAAAAGAACCUAACCGACUCCAUCUUGCUUCUGACCUUUAAGCUGUCCUUGUUAUUCCUGGGCAUAGACCAAACUAACUUCGGGAAGGAAUUCAGUUCAUGGUUUGACUCUGAAACAAAAUGGAUAAUAGCUCUUUCUGGAAAAAAAUUCCUUCUUGCCUGGGAACCAGUCUGCCUUUGCAGGAUUAACAAAUUAGCUACAAGAUUAGAAAUUACAGUUCAGCGGUCACGCAGCCUCUGGCUCCAAGAGUCUGAACCUCCCCAAAUUGCUCCUGGGGAUACCAUCACUAUUGUCAAACCUGGGAUCAGUAAUUGAGAUAAUUUGCUGAUUCUGCACCCCUCAGUGGAUCAGCUGACACCACCCAGACCCGUAAUUCGGCUGAAAUGGUUCUGCCACCCCACCCAGGAAGAGGAAACAGCAAGAAAAACUCGCUUUGACUCCCUGUGUUUCCAUCUCCAACCUGACCAAUCAGCACUCCCUACUUCCCAAGCCCCUACUCGCCAAAUUAUCUUCAAAAACUCUGAUCCCAGAAUGCUCUGGGAGACUGAUUUGAGUAAUAAUAAAACUCCGCUCUCCCGCACAGCUGGCUCUGAAUGAAUUACUCUUUCUCCACUGCAAGUUCCCUGUCUUGAUAAACGGGCUCUGUCCAGGCUGUGGGCAAGGUGAACCUGUUGGGUCGUUACAUUUCAAGGUGGUGAAAAAAAG
rnacentral:lncRNA from 1 species